UACGAAGGGGGCUAGCGUUGCUCGGAAUCACUGGGCGUAGAGCGCACGUAGGCGGACUCUUAAGUCAGGGGUGAAAUCCUGGAGCUCAACUCCAGAACUGCCUUUGAUACUGGGAGUCUUGAGUUCGGGAGAGGUGAGUGGAACUGCGAGUGUAGAGGUGAAAUUCGUAGAUAUUCGCAAGAACACCAGUGGCGAAGGCGGCUCACUGGCCCGAUACUGACGCUGAGGUGCGAAAGCGUGGGGAGCAAACAGG
rnacentral:rRNA from 1 species